UACGUAGGGGGGCUAGCGUUGUCCGGAUUUAUUGGGCGUAAAGAGCGUGUAGGCGGCCAGGUAGGUCUGCUGUGAAAACUCGAGGCUCAACCUCGAGACGUCGGCGGAAACCAUCUGGCUAGAGUCCGGAAGAGGAGAGUGGAAUUCCUGGUGUAGCGGUGAAAUGCGUAGAUAUCGGGAGGAACACCUGUGGCGAAAGCGGCGCACUGGACCACAUCUGACGCUGAGGCGCGAAAGCUAGGGGGAGCAAACAGG
rnacentral:rRNA from 1 species